rnacentral:rRNA from 1 species
GAUGAACGCUGGCGGCGUGCCUAAUACAUGCAAGUCGAGCGAACGGACGAGAAGCUUGCUUCUCUGAUGUUAGCGGCGGACGGGUGAGUAACACGUGGAUAACCUACCUAUAAGACUGGGAUAACUUCGGGAAACCGGAGCUAAUACCGGAUGAUAUUUUGAACCGCAUGGUUCAAAAGUGAAAGACGGUCUUGCUGUCACUUAUAGAUGGAUCCGCGCUGCAUUAGCUAGUUGGUAAGGUAACGGCUUACCAAGGCAACGAUGCAUAGCCGACCUGAGAGGGUGAUCGGCCACACUGGAACUGAGACACGGUCAAGAAUCCUACGGGAGGCAGCAGUAGGGAAUCUUCCGCAAUGGGCGAAAGCCUGACGGAGCAAAGCCGCGUGAGUGAUGAAGGUCUUCGGAUCGUAAAACUCUGUUAUUAGGGAAGAACAUAUGUGUAAGUAACUGUGCACAUCUUGACGGUACCUAAUCAGAAAGCCACGGCUAACUACGUG